GAUGAACGCUAGCGGCAGGCCUAAUACAUGCAAGUCGAACGAUAGAAGAGGGCUUGCUCUCUUCGAAAGUGGCGCACGGGUGCGUAACGCGUAUGCAACCUACCUUAAUCAGGGGGAUAGCCCGAAGAAAUUCGGAUUAACACCGCAUAAAAUCAAAGUACAGAAUUGUACAAUGAUCAAAUAUUUAUAGGAUUAAGAUGGGCAUGCGUGACAUUAGCUAGUUGGCGGGGUAACGGCCCACCAAGGCGACGAUGUCUAGGGGAUCUGAGAGGAUGACCCCCCACACUGGUACUGAGACACGGACCAGACUCCUACGGGAGGCAGCAGUAAGGAAUAUUGGUCAAUGGAGGCAACUCUGAACCAGCCAUGCCGCGUGCAGGAAGACAGCCCUCUGGGUCGUAAACUGCUUUUAUUCGGGAAUAAACCUACUUACGUGUAAGUAGCUGAAUGUACCGAAGGAAUAAGGAUCGGCUAACUCCGUGCCAGCCGCCGCAGUAA
rnacentral:rRNA from 1 species